rnacentral:lncRNA from 1 species
AUGAGGAAAACUCAGAUUUGCUUCGUCAGAUAUUUGAUGCCCUUCCUUUAUGCUACUUACCUACUACCUUGUCUCCCAAGCCUACUUUUCGAGCCUGACCUCACUCUAAGAAAGAACACUAGAUAGAGAAUGGAAGCAGAAAUCUAUGUAAAGGAGGACGAUUCAGCUCUUGUUUGGCAACCUGUAGGAGCUCCCUCCAGGGCCUGAAAGGUGAAACUGGAGAGUUGGCCCACAUUCCA